rnacentral:piRNA from 1 species
UAUGGCAUGACAGAAUCAGGAACACUGGUC